rnacentral:lncRNA from 1 species
CAUGUCUCUUCUUUCUCUUAUCCCCUGGGUGAAGGAAUUUCCCUCAUCUCUAAUCCAUCUUCCAUCAUGAGAUAUUUUCAGCUCAAACCCAAACCCCAUGCUCCGUGAGAAAGAAGGUCCGGACAAAUCAUAGACGCACGUGGAAGAUUUAUCUCCUCCCCAUCGUCGGCUUAAAAACUUAAGCAUGCUCAGGGUUUCCAAAGUCAAAGCUUUCAACUCAGAGUAGAAAACAUAAAAAUCAAAAAUUCAUCAUACAAUUAAUUCCCCCCCCAAAAACCAAAAAAAUCACAAAAAAAAAAAGAGAGAGAAAAUCCUUGACAUAGUUGGCAAAUCCAGUGACACAAUCAAAACGAAUCCAACAACAUAUGAAUCCCUUCUGUUUCACUCAAAGUAUAUUCUGAAAAACAAUGUCCAACCGAAGGGGGAGAUCCUACAAAAAGAUAGAAAAAUAGCCCAUAUUUGUUCCAUUAUCAUUCCAGCACCAACCAAAACUCCUAAAUUUAUUAAGAUUCAACAAGUAACCUUCCAAAUUACGAGAGGACAACAAUUUGGCAAUAAAGGAACAGAACUUUAGAACAACUUACCUCAUUUUUCCGUGAGAAGGCGAAGUGCACGCACUAGAAGAACGGGCCCUGCUUCCCAUGAGAAAAAAACCGGAUAAAAAAACCACCGGUGCCUUUUAACGGCUUCUCUCCUCUUCUUCUUCUCUACAUCUGUGAGACGACCGAGCAUUGGGAAUGAGAUGUGGGGGUAGACUUUUCUAGGCCAUGACGGCAGAUUUCGUAAGGGAAGAGCUCGAUGGAGAGAGGCCGGGAAGAAGAGGCGCGGCGUCCUCA